rnacentral:rRNA from 1 species
CUUAGGCGUGUGACUGCGUACCUUUUGUAUAAUGGGUCAGCGACUUAUAUUCUGUAGCAAGGUUAACCGAAUAGGGGAGCCGAAGGGAAACCGAGUCUUAACUGGGCGUUAAGUUGCAGGGUAUAGACCCGAAACCCGGUGAUCUAGCCAUGGGCAGGUUGAAGGUUGGGUAACACUAACUGGAGGACCGAACCGACUAAUGUUGAAAAAUUAGCGGAUGACUUGUGGCUGGGGGUGAAAGGCCAAUCAAACCGGGAGAUAGCUGGUUCUCCCCGAAAGCUAUUUAGGUAGCGCCUCGUGAAUUCAUCUCCGGGGGUAGAGCACUGUUUCGGCAAGGGGGUCAUCCCGACUUACCAACCCGAUGCAAACUGCGAAUACCGGAGAAUGUUAUCACGGGAGACACACGGCGGGUGCUAACGUCCGUCGUGAAGAGGGAAACAACCCAGACCGCCAGCUAAGGUCCCAAAGUCAUGGUUAAGUGGGAAACGAUGUGGGAAGGCCCAGACAGCCAGGAUGUUGGCUUAGAAGCAGCCAUCAUUUAAAGAAAGCGUAAUAGCUCACUGGUCGAGUCGGCCUGCGCGGAAGAUGUAACGGGGCUAAACCAUGCACCGAAGCUGCGGCAGCGACGCUGAUGCGUUGUUGGGUAGGGGAGCGUUCUGUAAGCCUGCGAAGGUGUGCUGUGAGGCAUGCUGGAGGUAUCAGAAGUGCGAAUGCUGACAUAAGUAACGAUAAAGCGGGUGAAAAGCCCGCUCGCCGGAAGACCAAGGGUUCCUGUCCAACGUUAAUCGGGGCAGGGUGAGUCGACCCCUAAGGCGAGGCCGAAAGGCGUAGUCGAUGGGAAACAGGUUAAUAUUCCUGUACUUGGUGUUACUGCGAAGGGGGGACGGAGAAGGCUAUGUUGGCCGGGCGACGGUUGUCCCGGUUUAAGCGUGUAGGCUGGUUUUCCAGGCAAAUCCGGAAAAUCAAGGCUGAGGCGUGAUG